rnacentral:rRNA from 1 species
CAGCCGCCACGGUAAUACGUAGGGUGCGAGCGUUAAUCGGAAUUACUGGGCGUAAAGCGUGCGCAGGCGGUUGUGUAAGACAGGUGUGAAAUCCCCGGGCUUAACCUGGGAACUGCGCUUGUGACUGCACAGCUAGAGUAUGGCAGAGGGGGGUGGAAUUCCACGUGUAGCAGUGAAAUGCGUAGAGAUGUGGAGGAACACCGAUGGCGAAGGCAGCCCCCUGGGCCAAUACUGACGCUCAUGCGCGAAAGCGUGGGGAGCAAACAGGAUUAGAGACCCCUGUAGUCCCUGUCUCUUAUAC